rnacentral:rRNA from 1 species
GCAGCAGUGGGGAAUAUUGCACNAUGGGNGGAAGCCUGAUGCAGNGACGCCGCNUGAGGGAUGACGNCCUUCGGGUUGUAAACCUCUUUCAGUAGGGAAGAAGCGGAAGUGACGGUACCUGCAGAAGAAGCACCGGCUAANUACGUGCCAGCAGCCGCGGUAAUACGUAGGGUGCGAGCGUUAUCCGGAAUUAUUGGGCGUAAAGAGCUCGUAGGCGGUUUGUCGCGUCUGUCGUGAAAGUCCGGGGCUUAACCCCGGAUCUGCGGUGGGUACGGGCAGACUAGAGUGCAGUAGGGGAGACUGGAAUUCCUGGUGUAGCGGUGGAAUGCGCAGAUAUCAGGAGGAACACCGAUGGCGAAGGCAGGUCUCUGGGCUGUAACUGACGCUGAGGAGCGAAAGCAUGGGGAGCGAACAGGAUUAGAUACCCUGGUAGUCCAUGCCGUAAACGUUGGGCACUAGGUGUGGGGACCAUUCCACGGUUUCCGCGCCGCAGCUAACGCAUUAAGUGCCCCGCCUGGGGAGUACGGCCGCAAGGCUAAAACUCAAAGGAAUUGACGGGGGCCCGCACAAGCGGCGGAGCAUGCGGAUUAAUUCGAUGCAACGCGAAGAACCUUACCAAGGCUUGACAUGUUUUCGAUCGCCGUGGAGACACGGUUUCCCCUUUGGGGCGGAUUCACAGGUGGUGCAUGGUUGUCGUCAGCUCGUGUCGUGAGAUGUUGGGUUAAGUCCCGCAACGAGCGCAACCCUCGUUCCAUGUUGCCAGCACGUUGUGGUGGGGACUCAUGGGAGACUGCCGGGGUCAACUCGGAGGAAGGUGAGGACGACGUCAAAUCAUCAUGCCCCUUAUGUCUUGGGCUUCACGCAUGCUACAAUGGCCGGUACAAUGGGUUGCGAUACUGUGAGGUGGAGCUAAUCCCAAAAAGCCGGUCUCAGUUCGGAUUGGGGUCUGCAACUCGACCCCAUGAAGUCGGAGUCGCUAGUAAUCGCAG